UACGUAGGGGGCCAGCGUUGUUCGGAAUUACUGGGCGUAAAGAGCGCGUAGGCGGCGCAGUGUGUUUGGUGUGAAAUCUCCCGGCUCAACCGGGAGGGGCCAUCGAAAACUGCUGUGCUUCGGGUUUGGGAGAGGGGAGUGGAAUUCCCGGUGUAGCGGUGAAAUGCGUAGAGAUCGGGAGGAACACCAGCGACGAAGGUGGCUCCCUGGACCAA
rnacentral:rRNA from 1 species